rnacentral:rRNA from 1 species
UAAAAUUUUAAAGGUCGAACAGACCUAAAAUUCUAGCUUCUACACCAAAAUUUAAUUUUAAUCCAACAUCGAGGUCGCAAACUUUUUUAUCGAUAAGAACUCUCCAAAAAAAAUUACGCUGUUAUCCCUAAGGUAAUUUAAUCUUGUAAUCCAAACUCAAGGAUCAUAUAACCAUAAAUCAAUGUUUCAAACAAAAAAAAGUUAAAUCAAUUUUUCCAUCGCCCCAACAAAAUACUUACAAAAAAAUAACAAAAUAAAUUCCUAAGCCAUUAAAUUAAUGUAAAUAUAAAACUCUAUAGGGUCUUCUCGUCUUUAUAAAAAAUUUAAGCUUUUUCACUUAAAAUUGAAAUUCUAAAUCAUUCAUAUAGAGACAGUUAUUUUCUCAUCAAACCUUUCAUUCCAGCUUUCAAUCAAAAAACUAAUGAUUAUGCUACCUUUGCACAGUCAAAAUACUGCGGCCAUUCAAAAAUCAUU